rnacentral:rRNA from 1 species
UACGUAGGGUGCAAGCGUUAAUCGGAAUUACUGGGCGUAAAGCGUGCGCAGGCGGUUUUGUAAGACUGUCGUGAAAUCCCCGGGCUCAACCUGGGAAUGGCGAUGGUGACUGCAAGGCUAGAGUUUGGCAGAGGGGGGUAGAAUUCCACGUGUAGCAGUGAAAUGCGUAGAUAUGUGGAGGAACACCGAUGGCGAAGGCAGCCCCCUGGGUCAAAACUGACGCUCAUGCACGAAAGCGCGGGGAGCAAACAGG